GGCAGCAGUAGGGAAUCUUCCGCAAUGGACGAAAGUCUGACGGAGCAACGCCGCGUGAGUGAUGAAGGUUUUCGGAUCGUAAAGCUCUGUUGUUAGGGAAGAACAAGUGCCGUUCAAAUAGGGCGGCACCUUGACGGUACCUAACCAGAAAGCCACGGCUAACUACGUGCCAGCAGCCGCGGUAAUACGUAGGUGGCAAGCGUUGUCCGGAAUUAUUGGGCGUAAAGGGCUCGCAGGCGGUUUCUUAAGUCUGAUGUGAAAGCCCCCGGCUCAACCGGGGAGGGUCAUUGGAAACUGGGGAACUUGAGUGCAGAAGAGGAGAGUGGAAUUCCACGUGUAGCGGUGAAAUGCGUAGAGAUGUGGAGGAACACCAGUGGCGAAGGCGACUCUCUGGUCUGUAACUGACGCUGAGGAGCGAAAGCGUGGGGAGCGAACAGGAUUAGAUACCCUGGUAGUCCACGCCGUAAACGAUGAGUGCUAAGUGUUAGGGGGUUUCCGCCCCUUAGUGCUGCAGCUAACGCAUUAAGCACUCCGCCUGGGGAGUACGGUCGCAAGACUGAAACUCAAAGGAAUUGACGGGGGCCCGCACAAGCGGUGGAGCAUGUGGUUUAAUUCGAAGCAACGCGAAGAACCUUACCAGGUCUUGACAUCCUCUGACAAUCCUAGAGAUAGGACGUCCCCUUCGGGGGCAGAGUGACAGGUGGUGCAUGGUUGUCGUCAGCUCGUGUCGUGAGAUGUUGGGUUAAGUCCCGCAACGAGCGCAACCCUUGAUCUUAGUUGCCAGCAUUCAGUUGGGCACUCUAAGGUGACUGCCGGUGACAAACCGGANGGAAGGUGGGGAUGACGUCAAAUCAUCAUGCCCCUUAUGACCUGGGCUACACACGUGCUACAAUGGACAGAACAAAGGGCAGCGAAACCGC
rnacentral:rRNA from 2 species